GUAAUAUUGUUAGAUCUCAUAUCUCAUAUGUUAAGAGAGAUUGCUAUUUGAUUUUGACAAAAUUGGACAUAUUUUAAAUUCUUAAACCAUACAUAUCAUGGCCUAUAGAUUCUGAAUCUCAUAUACUUGAGUUUUCCUCGAUCUAUAGAUGUUCUCAAAAUAAAAAGGGGUUUUAUAUAUUGUCCUUUUUGGACAAGUUUUAAACAAAACAAAAAAACAAGGGUUUUUCCUUUAAUUUUGUUUUUCGAGGAAAGGGUUUCACCUGGGUAGAUUCUCUCCUUUGUUCCCUCUUUUUAGUUUAUCUUUAGACAAAUUCCACAAGAAAUUGUCCUCUUUUCUCUGUGUAUAUUGUAGCUUUUUUUGUUCUUCUCUCUCAUGACAUUAACACUUUUUUGGAUGCAGCAAGGAACCAUAGUUGCAUGGACAGAUAGUCAGUCGUUAUUUGCAGAUGUAGCAUCAUCAAGAUUCACAUAUGAAAGUGCAAAUGGUUUUGUUGGAUUUUGAUCUGAUCGAUGCAAAUCUAAGUUCUCCAUAGGUCUUUUGAACUGAGAAUCUUGAUGAUGCUGCAUCAGCCAUAAA
rnacentral:lncRNA from 1 species